rnacentral:rRNA from 1 species
UACGUAGGGGGCAAGCGUUGUCCGGAAUCAUUGGGCGUAAAGAGCGUGUAGGCGGCCAGAUAAGUCCGCUGUGAAAUCUCGAGGCUCAACUUCGAGCUGUCGGUGGAAACUGUCUGGCUAGAGUCCGGAAGAGGAGAAUGGAAUUCCUGGUGUAGCGGUGAAAUGCGCAGAUAUCAGGAAGAACACCCGUGGCGAAGGCGGUUCUCUGGGCCUGUUCUGACGCUGAGGAGCGAAAGCGUGGGGAGCGAACAGG